UACGUAGGGUGCGAGCGUUAAUCGGAAUUACUGGGCGUAAAGCGUGCGCAGGCGGUUCUAUAAGACAGAUGUGAAAUCCCCGGGCUCAACCUGGGAACUGCAUUUGUGACUGUAGAGCUGGAGUGCGGGAGAGGAGAGUGGAAUUCCUGGUGUAGCGGUGAAAUGCGUAGAUAUCAGGAGGAACACCGGUGGUGUAGACGGCUCUCUGGACCGUAACUGACGCUGAGACACGAAAGCGUGGGUAGCAAACAGG
rnacentral:rRNA from 1 species